rnacentral:rRNA from 1 species
GACGAACGCUGGCGGCGUGCUUAACACAUGCAAGUCGAACGGAAAGGCCCUGCUCUUGCGGGUUGCUCGAGUGGCGAACGGGUGUGUAACACGCGAGUAACCUGCCCUUGACUGUGGGAUAACUUCAGGAAACUGGGGCUCAUAUAGGAUAGGAGCUCCUGCAGCAUGGUGGGGGUUGGUAAGUUUCGGCGGUUGGGGAUGGACUCGAGGCUUCUCAGCUUGUUGGUGGGGUAGUGGCUGACCAAGGUUUUGACGGAUAGCCGGCCUGAGAGGGUGGCCGGCCACAUGGGGACUGCGAGACGGCGCAGACUCGUACGGGAGGCAGAGGUGGGGAGUAUUGCAGAACGGGGGGAAGCCAGAUGCAACAACGCUGCGUUCGGAAUACCGUGCUACGGGUUGUAAACCGCUGUCGCCGUUGACGAAACGUGAGUGACGGUAAUGGAUAAAGAAGCACCGGCUAACUACGUG